UUAAAAUUAAAAUAUAAACUAUUCAUUGUGAUUUCUUUCAAGACCUAACUGGUGAACAAUAUGUUGCCGUUGUCGUAAAAUAAUGUUAAUUUAUGCGACGUUGCCAAUGGUAAGAGAACAAACACUUCCAAGCAAGUCGAAAGUGGACAGUGCCUGCUUUCCGCGUUGCCAUAGAGCCGGUUUCCAUGGUUACAAGUGCACAAUCGAGAUGUCUGCCUUUAUGAAAUGGAGCUGUGAGGACGUCUCUAAAUGGAUUGAAUCUUUAGGAUAUCAACAGUAUACGGCAUGUUUCACAGAAAACUAUAUCAAUGGUAGAAAAUUAAUCUUGGUAAAUUGCUCCACACUCCCCAGACUUGGAAUCACUGACUUCAAAGAUAUGAAGGCAAUUUCUGGUCACGUUCGUGAGCUCCUUGAAAUUAAGGACCCCCAUUGGAUCCGAAGUAUUGCAUUGCCCCCUGUGGAACCAAGGCGGUUAUUUUUAGAGGAAAAGAGUCGAACAGGAUCGACAGCUGAUUCUCUUACUUAUAUUCAGUUUUUGAAAGAAAGGGGCUUAGAUGAAUACACGUAAAAUACAUGCUGUAAUGUUCUUCAUCUAAACUGCUUGUCCUUUUAGUAAUUAUGCCUUGUGGUGUUUGUUUGUUUGUUUGUUUUUUAAUUUGCACAAGUGUGUAUACAAUAAUGGUUUCAAAUGAUACCAUUAUAUCAUCUUGAUAUAUCAUCUUUACUUUUAUAA